rnacentral:rRNA from 1 species
AGAAAGUCACGGCUAACUACGUGCCAGCAGCCGCGGUAAUACGUAGGUGGCAAGCGUUAUCCGGUAUUUAUUGGGCGUAAAGAGAGUGCAGGCGGUUUUCUAAGUCUGAUGUGAAAGCCUUCGGCUUAACCGGAGAAGUGCAUCGGAAACUGGAUAACCUGAGUGCAGAAGAGGGUAGUGGAACUCCAUGUGUAGCGGUGGAAUGCGUAGAUAUAUGGAAGAACACCAGUGGCGAAGGCGGCUACCUGGUCUGCAACUGACGCUGAGACUCGAAAGCAUGGGUAGCGAACAGGAUUAGAUACCCUGGUAG